UCAAGUUAAUAAGAGCUUUGGGUGGAUACCUAGACAUUUAGAAGCGAUGAAGGGCGUGGUUACCGACGAAACGUUUCGGGGAGCUGGAAACUAGCUUUGAUCCGGAAGUUCCCGAAUGAGGAAACUCUUAUACUCUUUUUUCGAAUAUAUAGAUAAAGGAGGGCGAACCUGGUGAAUUGAAACAUCUUAGUAACCAGAGGAAAAGAAAGCAAAAGCGAUUCUCUUAGUAGCGGCGAGCGAAAAGGGAACAGUCUAAACUAAACUUAUUGUUUAGGGUUGAGGGAUAAGCUAUAAAGGUUCUUUUAUUGUUAGAUGAAGCGUCUGGAAUGGCGCGCCAUAGAAAGUGAUAGCCUUGUAAUUUAAAACAAGAUAAAGAACUUGUCUUUUUCCCAAGUAGGAGGGGAUAAGUGAAACCCCCUUUGAAUCUACGAGGACCACCUCGUAAGACUAAAUAUUACUAAAUGAUCGAUAGUGUACCAGUACCGUGAGGGAAAGGUGAAAAGAACCUCGGGAGGGGAGUGAAAAGAACAUGAAACCGAAAGCUUACAAGCAGUAGAAGGACGACUAUAACGUCUAACUUCGUUCCUGUUGAAGUAUGAGCCGGCGACUUGUAGGCAGUGGCAGGGUAAGGGAAUACCGGAGCCAUAGUGUAAGC
rnacentral:rRNA from 12 species